rnacentral:tRNA from 1 species
UGGGGCGUCGACAAGCGGUAAGUCACCAGAUUUUGGAUCUGGUAUCCGGAGGUUCGAAUCCUCCCGCCCCAGC